rnacentral:rRNA from 1 species
ACGCUAGCUACAGGCUUAACACAUGCAAGUCGAGGGGAAACGGCAUUAAGUGCUUGCACUUUUUGGACGUCGACCGGCGCACGGGUGAGUAACGCGUAUCCAACCUUCCCAUGACUAAGGGAUAACCUGCCGAAAGGCAGACUAAUACCUUAUGGUCUUCACUGACGGCAUCAGAUGCGAAGUAAAGAUUUAUCGGUUAUGGAUGGGGAUGCGUCUGAUUAGCUUGUUGGCGGGGUAACGGCCCACCAAGGCGACGAUCAGUAGGGGUUCUGAGAGGAAGGUCCCCCACAUUGGAACUGAGACACGGUCCAAACUCCUACGGGAGGCAGCAGUGAGGAAUAUUGGUCAAUGGGCGAGAGCCUGAACCAGCCAAGUAGCGUGCAGGAUGACGGCCCUAUGGGUUGUAAACUGCUUUUGUAUGGGGAUAAAGUCAAUCACGUGUGAUUGUUUGCAGGUACCAUACGAAUAAGGACCGGCUAAUUCCGUGCCAGCAGCCGCGGUAAUACGGAAGGUCCGGGCGUUAUCCGGAUUUAUUGGGUUUAAAGGGAGCGUAGGCUGGAGAUUAAGUGUGUUGUGAAAUGUAGACGCUCAACGUCUGACUUGCAGCGCAUACUGGUUUCCUUGAGUACGCACAACGUUGGCGGAAUUCGUCGUGUAGCGGUGAAAUGCUUAGAUAUGACGAAGAACUCCGAUUGCGAAGGCAGCUGACGGGAGCGCAACUGACGCUGAAGCUCGAAGGUGCGGGUAUCGAACAGGAUUAGAUACCCUGGUAGUCCGCACAGUAAACGAUGGAUGCCCGCUGUUGGUACCUGGUAUCAGCGGCUAAGCGAAAGCAUUAAGCAUCCCACCUGGGGAGUACGCCGGCAACGGUGAAACUCAAAGGAAUUGACGGGGGCCCGCACAAGCGGAG